CUACGGGUCGCUGCAGUGAGGAAUUUUGCGCAAUGGGCGAAAGCCUGACGCAGCAACGCCGCGUGGGUGAUGAAGGCCUUCGGGUCGUAAAGCCCUGUCAAGUGGGAAGAACCCACAGGGUGCGAACAGUACUCUGUGCUGACGGUACCACUGAAGGAAGCACCGGCUAACUCCGUGCCAGCAGCCGCGGUAAUACGGGGGGUGCAAGCGUUAUUCGGAAUCAUUGGGCGUAAAGGGCGCGUAGGCGGCCACUUAAGUCAGAUGUGAAAGCCCGGGGCUUAACCUCGGAAGUGCAUUUGAAACUGGGUGGCUCGAGUAUGGGAGAGGGAAGCGGAAUUCCUGGUGUAGAGGUGAAAUUCGUAGAUAUCAGGAGGAACACCUGUGGCGAAGGCGGCUUCCUGGACCAAUACUGACGCUGAGGCGCGAAGGCGUGGGGAGCAAACAGGAUUAGAUACCCUAGUAGUC
rnacentral:rRNA from 1 species